rnacentral:rRNA from 1 species
AUUGAACGCUGGCGGCAGGCCUAACACAUGCCAGUCGAGCGGAUGAAGGGAGCUUGCUCCUGGAUUCAGCGGCGGACGGGUGAGUAAUGCCUAGGAAUCUGCCUGGUAGUGGGGGAUAACGUCCGGAAACGGGCGCUAAUACCGCAUACGUCCUGAGGGAGAAAGUGGGGGAUCUUCGGACCUCACGCUAUCAGAUGAGCCUAGGUCGGAUUAGCUAGUUGGUGGGGUAAAGGCCUACCAAGGCGACGAUCCGUAACUGGUCUGAGAGGAUGAUCAGUCACACUGGAACUGAGACACGGUCCAGACUCCUACGGGAGGCAGCAGUGGGGAAUAUUGGAAAAUGGGCGAAAGCCUGAUCCAGCCAUGCCGCGUGUGUGAAGAAGGUCUUCGGAUUGUAAAGCACUUUAAGUUGGGAGGAAGGGCAGUAAGUUAAUACCUUGCUGUUUUGACGUGACCAACAGAAUAAGCACCGGCUAACUUCGU